rnacentral:rRNA from 1 species
AGGACGUGAGCUGCGGCUCGAUUAGGUAGACGGUGGGGUAACGGCCCACGCGUGCCAAUAAUCGGUACGGGUUGUGAGAGCAAGAGUCUCGGAGACGGAAUCUGAGACAAGAUUCCGGGCCCUACGGGGCGCAGCAGCCGCGAAACCUUUACACUGCACGACAGUGCGAUAAGGGGAUCCCGAGUGCGAGGGCAUACAGUCCUCGCUUUUCGUGACCGUAAGGUGGUCACAGAAUAAGCGCUGGGCAAGACCGGUGCCAGCCGCCGCGGUAAUACCGGCAGCCCGAGUGAUAGCCAAUUUUAUUGGGCCUAAAGCGUCCGUAGCCGGCCGAACGGGUCCGUCGGGAAAUCCACCCGCUUAACGGGUGGGCGUCCGGCGGAAACCAGUCGGCUUGGGGCCGGGAGACCAGAGGGGUACGUCCGGGGUAGGAGUGAAAUCCUGUAAUCCUGGACGGACCACCGGUUGCGAAAGCGCCUCUGGAGAACGGACCCGACGGUGAGGGACGAAAGCUAGGGUCUCGAACCGGAUUAGAUACCCGGGUAGUCCUAGCCGUAAACGAUGCUCGCUAGGUGUGACGCAGGCUACGAGCCUGCGUUGCGCCGUAGGGAAGCCGAG